UACAGAGGUCUCGAGCGUUGUUCGGAUUCAUUGGGCGUAAAGGGUGCGUAGGUGGCGGGGCAAGGCAGGUGUGAAAUCCCGGGGCUCAACCCCGGAACUGCAUUUGAUACUGCCUUGCUCGAGUACUGGAGAGGAGACUGGAAUUUACGGUGUAGCAGUGAAAUGCGUAGAUAUCGUAAGGAAGACCAGUGGCGAAGGCGGGUCUCUGGACAGUUCCUGACACUGAGGCACGAAGGCCAGGGGAGCAAACGGG
rnacentral:rRNA from 1 species